GUGCAAGGGAGAACAAAGAAGGAGAGAAAAUUGCUUAUGAAAGGUUUAAGGAAGCAAUAACAUUUCCAAAUAAGGAAGAGGCAUAAGCUAUGAGCUAAGACUUGCCUGGGCCUGUCCAGACAUGCCUGGGUAAGACAAAGCAACUAACUGGGCUAAAGUGUAAGAACUAAUAGUUGAUAGGGGGCUUUAGAGUAAGAAGCUAUUACUUCUAGUGUCUAUUAUUUUAUUUUUAAACCAAGACGAGCUUUGAAGGGAACUUUUUUACUUUCUACAGUGUGUGACACAUGUGCUCAUGGAUUAUUGUCCGAAGCAAGUCAUGUGACCAAGCUUAACAUCAACUGGGUGAAGAGCUAUAUGUUCCUUUCUCAAGAGGCACUACAAGUGACAUGCCAACGGGCAGGGUGAGGCAAUGAAAAGCCAAUCUGUAAUUGUCUGCUCUUUCUUACCCUGCUGCUAACUACUGAGGAAACUGUUACAGAUGGCAGAGCCUCCAUCAAGCCAGGUGGACUGAGUAGCGCAAACUCUCUCUUUACCCGUGUUGGACAGGUAAUGUGAGGAAAAGUAAACUAUUGUUUUAAGCCACUGAGGUUUGAAGAUGGUUUGUUACUGUAGCAUAUUAUAGUCAGACUUGAUUAAUAGAUGAGGCCUCUAGGGAAUUUUCUUUGGGAUUUUCUUUGGAAAAAUCCAAAGAAAAUAUUCGCCCUUCUAACUCUC
rnacentral:lncRNA from 1 species